UUCGUGGUUGAGCGGGGUUUGUGACGGUGGUUUAGGAGCCUUCUCUUCUGCGCGGGAGGGGAGCUCUGACUCGCAGCCGGACCCCGCCUUCUCGCUGACGAGGCCUCGUUCCCCAGGUCAGGCCUGACCUGCUCAAGCCCAGAGAGUUGUAAGAAGUUGGAUGUAGAAGUUCUUCCUUGAUCAGCAGCUUCCUAUGACACAUCUGUGAUUUCCUGGUUCUACCUCAUAUCCUGUAAUCAUGGACUUGUUAAUGUGACCUUCCAAGCCCCUAACAAAUCAACUGGCCAGUCGUCUCAUUUCUCUUGGAGAUAGAUUAGUUCCUCUGGAUUUGCUGCUGUACGUUACUUCGGGAUUGCUCGUGCACUUCGUGUUCUUCGCCUCCAUCUUCAGCAUGUGUUUCACCUCUCCUUUGGUUCAUGGAAUGACUCCUCAGUUUAUGCCCCUGCCUCCCCCAGCAAAACGAUUAGUGCUGUUUGUCGCUGAUGGCCUGCGAGCACGUAAACUUUAUGAAUUAGAUGAAGAUGGAAAUUCUAGGGCACCAUUUGUUAGGCAAAGAUGAGCUUCUCUGACAGCGCCUGUUUCUCCCCGCGGUGUUCUGUGGAGGGCCAAGGGCUCCCCGGUGAUGUGCGAUGUGUUGUCUGCCAUUCUAGCUGCUUCUGAAGCCUUUUUUGGAAUGUCGUAAUGAACGAAGGCAGCUGGGGCAUCUCUCACACGUGUGUGCCGACCGAGUCUCGGCCAGGGCACGUGGCCAUGACUGCAGGGUUUUAUGAAGAUGUCAGCGCAGUUGCCAAAGGUGACCUUGGAAACCAUAUUUUUGCACACACUUAACGAUGCAUCCAGUGAGGAUUUUGGUGCCCACGAUGUAACAAAACUGGACACGUGGGUUUUUGAUCAUGUGAAGGCUCCCGUGGAGCCGGUCAUCCUUUAGAGACUUGUACUCCUUUUAUCGCUCGGGGAGCUGGAAUCAGGCUUCCCCAAAAAGUGUCAGCUCAGAAAUUUGAUGACUCAUAUUUGCAAGAAUGAAAUUUGGAGAACUGGAAGAGACAAGAUAAUAAUCAGGCUGAUGUUGCACCGUUGAUAGCAGCUCUUAUUGGAGUUCCCUACCCUCUUAAUUCAGUGGGAAUCAUUCCUGUGGACAUGCUUAAUACCUCUGAUCUCUUCAAAGCAGGGAGCAUGUUUACAAAUGCAGUACAGAUUCUUGAACAGUUCAAGGUAAAAAUGACUCAGAAAAAGGAAGCUACUUUAUCAUUUUUGUUUACACCAUUUAAUGAGGUAUUGUCAAGACAAACUAUUAAAUGAACCACUGACCAUCCACCCUUGCCAGGCAACAGAAAAGAGAAAACACUUGCAGGAGUCAUCUUACAACAGGAGGUCCUGGUAAGGAACAAGGAACUAACAAACUACCACCAACCAGGAUUCUGGAGAGGUCAAAAAGAGAUGGGAGACUCCAGUCCAGAGGUCCUACCAGCUUCUCAGGAUCCUCCUUGCUGGAAUCCAUCUCAGCUGAGUGAUGCGUGUGCCCCCAGGAAGGAUCCCAAUUCAUAAUGACUGGCAAGAGACAAACCAGAAACUAACCCAAUGACCAUAAAACCUGAGACUGUGAUCCACGUGGCAGAGAAGUUCUCUCCGUUUCCCUCACCCUCCUGCCCUCCGCCCUGGCAGCCCUUCCCAAUAAAGUCUCUCGCUUGGACAGCACUCCUCUCCUCGGACAAUUCACUUCCAAGUGUCAGACAGGAACCCACUCUCAAGCCCUGGAAGGGAUCCCCCUUCCUUCAUCAAAACCACAAUCCAGGAGAAAACAUCUUCAAAAUGCUAUCUUGUAGAGAAGGAAAUGGCACCCCCUCCAGUAUUCUGGCCUCAGAAAUCCCAGGGACAGAGGAGCUUGGUGGGCUACAGUCCCACAGCAGGGCAUUUCUGAGGGGAGGAAACAAUCCCAGGGAAGUUGAGAUGCUCACCAAAGGCCCCAGAGCUUUUGAUGGCACAGCUAGAACUAUAGCUGAGGACUCCCAGCUGCCAGGCCUCUUGAUGCUGGCCUCUCUCACCAGGUACAUGUGUGGAGAACUAGAAUCAAAAAUAUGCCUGAGUGCUUCCCUAGUGGCUCCGUGGUAAAGAAUCUGCCUGCCAGUGCUGGAGAUGCAGGUGUGAUCCCUGGGAUGGGAAGAUCCCACAUGCUAUGGAGCCCGUGUGCCACAACUGCAGAGCCUGUGCGCCAGAGCCUGGAAGCCACAACGCCGAGCUGACACACUGCAACUACUGAAGCCCGUGAGCCUGUGCCCCACAGUGUGAGGAGCCACUGCAGUGAGAAGCCCGCACACCACUGGUUAUGGCCCACGCUCACCCAAACUAGGGAAAAGCCCACACACGAAGACCAACACAGCCAAAAAUAAAUACAAUCGUUUUCCUAAAAAAUGCAUAUCUGGCAAAGAAUCUGCACUCAAAUUGUCCAAGAACGCUAGAGCAAACAAGUCCAUUCAUAACUGGUAAAGAUUGAAAUAGACACCUGGCCACGGAGGGUAUACUGAUAGUAAACUCUCCUACAGAAACAUACUCAAGAUACUGGUGGAACGCAUGUACAGCCCCCUUUGGAAGACAGUCUGACAGAUUUUUCAGUAACCACAUGGGACAAGCACUGAAUUCUAUACCUGACAAGUGGUGGAAGCCAGGUAUCUUACCAUUGGAAUGGGAAGUUACGGAUAAACAAAAGGAAAGGUUACAAGAUCCAUGGAGACAUCAUCACAAAUUACCUUCAACUGAAUAUGUAAGCUGGAAUACAUGUAUAUAUUUCCAAAUAUUGUCAGCUGAGCAUAUUUAGCUCCUACAUGUAUGUUUUAAAUAUCAUUCUCUAAUGAAAAGGAACAGGAAAUGUCCCUGGUGGUCCAGUGGUAAAGGAUCUGCCUACCAAUGCAGGGAACACAGGUUCAAUCCCUGGUCCUAGAAGAUUCCACAUGCCCAGGGGCAACUAAGCCCCCGUACAACUAUUGAAGUACUUGCAUGCUCCAGAGCCCAAGUUCUGCAACCAGAGAAAGCGCUGCAAUGAGAAGCCAUGGCAAGGCAACUAGAGGGUAGCCUCUGCUCACUACAACUAGGCAUCUAGCUACAAAGACCCAGCAUCAUCAAAAAUAAUUCAGUGUUUAAAAAAAAAGGACAGAAAUUCUUUGAAUAAAUGACUGAGACUAGGGGCGAGACAGUAAAUAUAUAAGCCAGGAUAAUCUUAAAGUAUGAGAAAGUAAAGAAAGUAAAGACAACUGUCAAGCUGUCCAAACUGAUAAAAAUGAAUGAUUACACAGUUUUAUCUGUAUACACUAGCAAAUAAUAAUCUGAAAAGGAAUUUAAAAAAAAAAAUUCCCUUUUGAUAAUGUCAACAUUAAUAAAAUACUUUGCCACGGAUGUAAUGAGGAUGACAAGACUGGCACACUGGAAAUUAUACAUGAUUGCUGAAAAAUAUCCUGAAUACAUGUACAGAUAUUCCAUAGCGAUGGAAAGACUUAAGAUGGCAAUACCUUGGAAUGCAUCUUCAAUCUGAAAUGAAGAUUCAAUAUGAAUUACAAAAGACUGAAAGGUCGUUGUUGAACCACAAAAGGCACCAGGAUUCUUGGCCUCCAGAGGAGAAGAAUUCAAUCCUGGCCAGUUGAUGCAGCUUGAUUGCUCAGAGCUUUUGUGUUGCUUUGAUUUGCCUGUGAGUGUGGGAGCCCUACCUGGGCACAGCGCCUUAGGGGCCAUUGCCACUGAAUCAUGCCCUCCAUGCAAGCGCAUUCCAGCUGUAUGACACUCAGCACGCAGGAGACUGGGAAAGCUAUCUUCCUUGGAGGAAGGACAGGCAUCCACAGAGAGUGUGUUUUCAGGCCUCUAUUUGCAGCAAGUGUUUUGCUUCUCAGAUGUCAGACCUGCAGGCCUGCCCCGAGGACCUCAAUUCCAGAGUCAGGGCCGUGUGUCUCCCUGCACAUUCCGAGCCUUGCAAACACAUUCCUGGGUCAGAGCGAUGCUGCCCAUGAGGAAGAAGGCUGCAGGAGUGUGUCUGAGGGGGCCAGGUGCCAUGCUAGGGUCACCUGGUCGAGGGCACCUUGCACAUCCAUUGGGCCCCAGGCGAGCAGUUAUGGACUCGCCCCUUGCUUGAGAUAUCCCAAAGCAAGGAGCAAUGCUAUCUGUAUCAGAAGGAGGAAAACAGCAAUGGGAUGGAUUUUCAAGCAGUUGCUAGGUCACACUGUGUUAGGGCUCCCCAGGAGACAUGUGAGAAUUUUGGCCCCUAGGCCCGGUAUCCAGGGGUGUGCACAGGGUGUUUUCCCCGCAGGACCCAAGAAUGUUCAGACAGACCUAGGCUCAAUAGCUGUUGCUAGGCUGUACUGCUUCAGGCACACCGAGAGAAGCAGGCACACUGUGGCCCCGAGGUCCGGUAUGCCACAUACGGGGUGUGUCCCCGAAGGAGCCAAGAAUUUUCCUGACAGUCCUAGGCUCCCUAGAGCUCUCAGGUCUGCUCAGAGGACCGAAGUUCCAGAGGCAGGGUCGUGUAUCUCCCCUUCCCCUUGCGAUCCUUGCAAAGACAUUCCAAGCUGAUAGUGGUACUGCCCAUGAAGAAGCAAGCAGUGGGAGUAUGUUUGACAUGACUGGGUGCCUUGAUGGGCUCAGCUCCUCAAGGGGCCUUUCCUCUCAGAGUAGGCCCCAUGUCCGCUUGGGGAGGGGGUUGGGCCCUCUUCCCUCCACACUGCCAAAGGGUGGAGCAAAGCUAGCUGUCAGAGGUAAGAAAGGAGCAAUUGGAUGGAUUUUCAAGCUCUCGCUAGGCUGUACUGCUUCAAGGCCCACUCGAGCAAAACAGGCGCCCUGUGGCCCCUAGGUCGGGUAUGCAGGUUCACACACAGGGUGUAUUCCCAUCAAAGCCAAGAAUUUUCUGACAGACCUAGGCUCACUAGAGUUGUCCUACAGAGCAAAGGGGACGGAAGAGAUGUGUGGAGGUGGGUCUGCCUUUCCCUGUGAGUGUGGGGCUACUCCCUAUGGCCCCAAGUUCAGGGAUAACUGCCACUAAGAAAGGAACUCCAAGAAGCGCUUUUCCAGGAGGCUGGGACAGGGAGUUUGCAGGUUGCAGGGGAAGGGAGCCUUCUUCGGGGAAGAAGAGGCAGCCACCCAGCGUGUGUUUGCAAGCCUCUUUGGAAGGCACAGUUUCACUGAUAGAAUUGAAUUCCAGUUCUGCUCAGAGGACCAAAGUUUCAGAGGCAGGGCCAUAUAUCUCCCCUUCCCUUUGCAAUCCUUGCAAAGACAUUCCUAGCUGAUAGUGAUACUGCCCAUGAGGAAGUAAGCAGCAGAAGUGUGUCUGACAUGAUUGGGUGCCUUCCUGGGCUCAGCUCCUCAAGGGGCCUUUCCACUCAAAGUAGGCCCAUUGCCUACUUGGGGAGAGGGUAUGGAGGGCUUGCUUCUAAAUGGUGAAAAGGUGGAGCAAAACUAGCUUUGUCAGAGGUAUGUAAAGUGCAAUUUAAUGGAUUUUCAAGCUGUUGCCAGGCAACACCGCUUCAGGGUCCCCUCUCCCAGAAGGAAACAGGCGCCCUGUGGCCCCUAGGUCUGGUAUGCAGAUUCACACACAGGAUGUGUCCUCACAGGAGCCAAGAGUUUUCCUAACAGGCCUAGGCUUACUAGAGCUCUACUAUAGAGCAAAGGGGAUGGAACAGACGUGUGGAUGUGACUCUGCCUUUACCUUUGACUGUGAGGCCCCUCCAUAAGGCCCCGAAAUUGCCCUCGCCCUUGCCCUAACCCUAACCCCAACAUGACACCCUAACCCUAACCAACACCGUAACCCUAUCCCAGACCCCCUAACCCUAACCUGACACCUUCACCCCUCAGCCCUCACCCUCACCCACACCCCUAACUUCUAACCCCUAAGCCACAAGGUAACCCACACCCUAAUCCACACCCUUAACCUAACCCACACCCUCCCCCACACCCUACUCACACCCUCAACCCUAGACUUAACCUGCAUCAUCUUCCAUUUCGGCACUUCUCAUGCAUCACAAAAGACAAGGGAGUCAUAUUUCAAACGUGGAUCCAAGACCCAUUAACCGCAUAGCAGGAAUAUAAACACUGUGAACACAUCAUUUAAAUCACUUGCACCACCAAAUACCUCUCCACCACAUAUCCUAUCAAUAACAGUGGAACUCAUGUAUGUCAUACAUAUUGUAACAUAGCAAUCUAAUACCCAACAGUAAUCUGGGUAAUUAUAUACACAAGAUAUAUUUAAACCAAAAAUAUUUAAACAAAUUCCAGUUUUUAUGAUGUUUUCAAUCCUCGCAAAAGUAGGAUUAACAGCACGUUUUACCACUAGGAUCCAAAGCAUUGAGCAAAAUUGCCAAGGUCCAGCCCUGGCAGGACCAGGAAUACCCAAGGGAUGAGUGGGGUCGGCGAGGAAGAAGACAGACAGACACACACACACAGACGUUGCAUAGAAGAGGUAGCUUUUUUUUUUUUUAGGAUAGCUCAGUUUUUAUAGAAUGAAUGUUACCUACCCCUUAAGUCACCACAUAUUACAUCAGAUAUUGGUUUGUGCUUCUGUCAAUAUUUUUUUCCCCAUGUUUUUCCCCUAAGCAUUCGUCUAGAACGUUUCCGAUUACAGGGUUUAUACUUAAAUGUCCCGUACAUAGUCUUCUUGCCUCAAUGGCCUAACAUUUUCACUCUAACAAAAACAAUGUUUUACAAAUCUCAGGUAUAGUGUAAAUUCUUUAGACAAUAAAACAAUACAUGGGAAGGGUUACAGUAACAUGUUUGACAUUUCUGAAAAUAGUACCAUGAGGAAAACCUGAUAUUUUUCUUUACCUGAAACCACAAAAUCUCAUUUUACAACGAUUAACUAUUAAACAGCAAAAACACCUCUAAAGCAGCAAAACACCUCUAUUAAUAGUAAGAUAAUGGCAGUAAAGCUGGUUAAUAUAAAUCUUCUAUUAAAAUCCUAUAUACCCCAUUUUCUAAUUUUACAAAAAUACCCAUAAUAUCCCAUGUUGUUUAAAGAAAGGGAAGCAAUGAACAAAUAGCAGCAAGGAAAUAGCAAUAGUGAAAACCCUUUCAACCAAGGAGCAAGUAAACUAAAGCAGUAUAUCUACUUCUAAAUCUAAAUACCUCUACUCUUUUCUAUUCUAGAAUGUUAUAAUCUUUUAGGCAAGCAGCCAAACUAUACCUGUGGCCCUUUCUUUUAUGACUUGAUGUUUAUGGUCGUGUCCUGAGCCAGAGCAAUCUUAAGCAUUUCCAAAAAGGCUUGGACUUUUCCAGCGAGGCCUUAUUACUAUAUAUUAUCAUUUCCAAAAAUUAAUAGAAAGCCCAACAACAGUAAGACAGAAGGAAGAAAGAGACAUACCGGGCCCCUGGGACAACCUCGAGGGGAAGAGCUGCCUUGCAGAUUCCUUUCUCAUCCCGUGACCUUGUCCCCGGGACAACCUCGAGGGGAAGAGCUGCCUUGCAGGUUCCUUUCUCGUCCCGCUGGCUCCAGAGGGGACAUAUCGGGCCCCCGGGGCAGCCCCAUGUGAGGAAGAGCUGCCUUGCAGGUUCCUGUCUCGUCCCAUGACCUUGUCAUGGACUGGGUGCAUCCCGGCGGCUCCCAACACAAAAUGACAGUACAAAUGUCAUACUCAUCAUUGACAAUGAAAAUCUUAAUUAUGACCGUCAGAAAAAAGGUCAGGAUGGUUGCUCUAACAGAUUUUUCAGUGUUCCAGUACAAGUUCCACCCAAAUCCAUAAAGAAAGACAUACGCAUAGGAAACUACAAAUUGAAAGCAAGUCUAUUCAGAUAAAUAUUGGACAUCAUCUGUAUUAAUGUUUAAGGCAUAAACAACUUCAGACAUUCUUCAAAUUCACAGAAUGACAAUAAGAAAGUAUGGCUACCCAGAAUCCAUUCAGUUUUAUAAACUACCAAUGAAGAACCUCACAAGGCAUUUAAAAACAGAUGAAAAAAAAAAAAGAUGACCAUUUCAAAUGUCAUUUUCAGUAUUUAAUAGCUUUGAUCUAUGAACAAGACUGUAAGACAGAAAAUUAAACAAGUAUGACCAAAAUAAAU